AAUUCAAAAUUCACUAAAAUGAAAACGGAAACCGAGUUUUGCUGCUUUGUAGAUUUGAAUGCGACAGGCCAUUUGUGUGCACUGGAACUUGAACCAUAUAUAUAAUAAAAUAGUUUCCACAAAUGCUUGGAGAUUGAAACUAUAACGUAGUAACAGAUAUCGAGUUUUGCUACUUUUGUGCAAAUAUGAGAUAGUAUUAAAAAGAGCAACGAAGUUCGUACCGGGCCUAGCGAGGAGGUUUGUUGGGCAGAACAGUCUAAAGAGUAGUAGCUUCAAAUUCAAUAUGGUCAAAGAACAAGUAGACCUUCUAACGCAGAAGGAGGCUUCAAAGAUGGUGAAGAGAUCCACUUCCUCUUACGAUGUGGAAACUGACAAACUUGAUUUGAUUUCUAAGUAUGAUGACACGGUUUUGACCGAUGCGAGUCUCACUAACACGCCAAGGUGUCUAAGAACAUGUUUAAAUACAUCAAAAGAUGACAAUUAUUAUGUAGUUUCUCACAGUAUGGAACCUGUCUAAGAAUCUUUGGGUUUUGUUUUCAGGGAAACAACAUCUCAGAAACUCAAUGUGCAUUUUCAUAAAACACUAGUAAAGUGUACUUACGAUGAGAGGGAACUAAGUUCUUCAACAGUUAUGUACCAAAGCGGAGGAGAGCCACGAGGCCCACGACCUUUCUUCUCCUGAAAACGAAACCCAAAGAUUAACCAUACACAAGAUAAUAGAAUGCAUCACCACUAGCUAAAGUCUCUUUGGCCGAGAACAAAGUAUAUACAUAGAGCUG
rnacentral:lncRNA from 1 species